rnacentral:rRNA from 1 species
UACAGAGGGGGCAAGCGUUAUUCGGAAUUAUUGGGCGUAAAAGGGCGCGUAGGCGGCCUUGCAAGUGACGGGUGAAAUCCCUCGGCUUAACCGAGGAACUGCCUGUCAGACUGCUGGGCUUGAGACCGGGAGAGGUGAGUGGAAUUCCCAGUGUAGCGGUGAAAUGCGUAGAUACUGGGAGGAACACCAGUGGCGAAGGCGGCUCACUGGACCGGUACUGACGCUGAGGCGCGAAAGCGUGGGGAGCAACAGGG